rnacentral:rRNA from 1 species
GGUGAACGCUGGCGGCGUGCCUAAUACAUGCAAGUCGAGCGAACAGACGAGGAGCUUGCUCCUCUGACGUUAGCGGCUGACGGGUGAGUAACACGUGGAUAACCUACCUAUAAUACUGGGAUAACUUCGGGAAACCGGAGCUAAUACCGGAGAAUAUAUUGAACCGCAUGGUUCAAUAGUGAAAGACGGUUUUGCUGUCACUUUUAGAUGGAUCCGCGCCGCAUUAGCUAGUUGGUAAGGUAACGGCUUACCAAGGCAACGAUGCGUAGCCGAUCUGAGAGGGUGAUCAGCCACACUGGAACUGAGACACGGUCCAGACUCCUACGGGAGGCAGCAGUAGGGAAUCUUCCGCAAUGGGCGAAAGCCUGACGGAGCCACGCCGCGUGAGUGAUGAAGGUCUUCGGAUCGUAAAACUCUGUUAUUAGGGAAGAACAACUGUGUAAGUAACUAUGCACGUCUUGACGGUACCUAAUCAGAAAGCCACGGCUAACUACGUG